CAAGAUCCUCAUAAGAAUAGUCUACAAAUGCAAAUGGCAGCCAUCAGCUCCAGAAUGGCAUCUGUCUCCUGGGUCUCACUGUGCUGGAGAUUGGGCACUUAGGCAUUUUUAAAAAGAUGGAUGACCUGAUGGAUAAAUGAUUGCAGAAUGACAGAUGCACGCGCUUUGACCCCAGUCCUCCUGGAUGCUGCCUGGCGCAGCUGGGCAUCUCUCUGACCUUUCUUUCUGGACAGCGUGGUGAAGGGGAGAGGGAAGCUUCACCCUCCACAAUCUGUCUGAUCCAGCACAGCUGCAUUUUCUCAUUCUUGAGAACCGGACGAGUUUCCUGAGCCCUGGGUUGAUAUACUGUACCAUCUUUGGUGCAGCUGUAAUUUUAACAAGGGGAACCGACUUGAACCUCUCUAAUCCUUACUCCAGACACCUCGCACUCCUGAGACUAAUGUGUAUGCGUGCAUGUGUUUUUGAGGAUUUUUCAGCUGUGCUUCUGAGAAAGUGGCUCAGUCCAAAGUUUAAAAAAGAAAAGAAAAAAGUGGGGAGGGGUUUAGUGGCACAUCUGUCUGAUUCUGACCACAAGACAUUUCAGUAGCUUUUGUAUUUACAAUAGCAAAAAUAAUGUUAUUAUUCUGUGCUCACCUACUGAUGUCU